AGCCCAAAACCGACCCUAUAAAUUAAAUAAACCAAAAUUUCUUCUUCACUCUUUAGUUUCUGAAUCAAAAAAGAAUAGGAAUUUUUUUGUUUUAUUUUGAAUAAUUUGUGCUAAAAUGGGAAAGAGAAAGAAAUCUAGGGUUUCACGCGAUGAAGAUGAGGAGGAUGAAGUAGUUCAAGAAGAAGAGGGCAAUCAUUCUUCUUCAAACGAAAAGAGCUUAUAUGAGAUUCUUGGAGUCGAAAAAGUAGCAUCUCAGCAAGAGAUUAAGAAAGCAUAUUAUAAGUUGGCACUGAGACUUCAUCCUGAUAAGAACCCUGGUGAUGAGGAAGCCAAAGAGAAAUUUCAGCAGUUGCAAAAGGUCAUAUCGAUUCUCGGUGACGAAGAGAAACGGGCUGUCUAUGACCAAACAGGUUGCGUUGAUGACACUGAUCUUGCUGGGGAUGUUGUUGAGAAUUUGAAAAGCUUUUUCAGGACUAUGUACAAAAAGGUCACCGAUGCUGAUAUUGAAGAGUUUGAAGCAAAUUAUAGGGGGUCUGAUUCAGAGAAGAAAGAUUUGAUUGAUCUUUACAGGAAGUUCAAGGGCAAUAUGAAUAAGCUCUUCUGUUCUAUGCUUUGUUCAGAUCCCAAGCUUGAUUCACACCGUUUCAAGGACAUGCUUGAUGAGGCUAUAGCAGCCGGAGAACUUAAAGAAUCCAAAGCCUAUAAGAAAUGGGCAAAGAAAGUAUCCGAAAUGAAGCCACCCACGAGUCCCUUGAGGAGGAAGGGGAAAUCAAAUAAACAGCCAGAAUCAGAUCUAUUUGCAAUUAUAUCUCAGCGUCGAAAUGAGAGGAAAGACCGAUUUGAUUCCAUGUUUUCAUCACUGGUAUCCAAAUAUGGGGGUAACGCAGAGUCUGAACCCACUGAAGAAGAAUUUGAAGCUGCGAAGAGGAAAGUUGAAAGCAAAAAGGCCUCCAACAACUCAAAACGGAAGCGGCAGUAGGUCUCACCUGGAUUUUAUUGAAGUUGGAUGUGGUGAGAAUUAUGCAAAAAUGCAUGUCUUUCAAGUAUAUGAAUGCAAAUUGCGUUAUAUGCUCUAAGAAACGUGAGAUGAUGCUUUUGUUGUAGUUACUUAAAAAAUGAAAGCUCAUUUGCACUUAUCUUGAGAAGUUACUUUUUUUUCUGGAAUGUUUUGGAUGUGAAGGAUGGGAAGGGGGAGGACAGGGCAGGGUGAGAUUGUUUUUGCUUACCGUGACCUGAUUAUUGUUAUGUACCUAACCCAAUUACGGUGCCUGGCCGGUUCACUGGAAACCAUUUUCGGGUUGGUUUCUGUGUCAUUUUGGGGGAGCUCUUUGGCCUCCCUCAGAAAAACAGGGGGUUGAGCUCCGUGGCGGGUGUGAGAGUAAAGUAGGAGGAAUCUGGAAUCCUAAAUGCUAAAUUCUAGGGUAAGAGAUGAUGGCGCGUCAAAUGGGUAAGAUAUUUGAUUAUAUAUUUUAGGAAGUUGGGGCAAUGGAGGACGCCAAGAAGAAGAUGCUCUGGGCUACUAUGAAGGCGGCGGCUGUUGCCAACAUCUGAAAAAAAACAAAUUGGUUUUCAUAAGUUAUUAAGUUGAAGAUCAAGUCCUUUUCUCUGGCCUCUGUUUGGUUACUUGGGUUUAAGGACUACGAAAGUCCAAAACUCUGGAUUUCAUCGACCAUGAUCAUUUUUGUUUUCUAAAUUAAAAUGAUCAGACUCAUUAGUAGUAGAA